ACACGUGAUUCAGAGUUUGAUCCUGGCUCAGGACGAACGCUGGCGGCGUGCCUAACACAUGCAAGUCGAGCGAGAAUUCUUUUUAGAUUCCUUCGGGAUGACGAAAAGGAAGGAAAGCGGCGGACGGGUGAGUAACGCGUGAGUAACCUGCCUUACAGAGGGGGACAACAGUUAGAAAUGACUGCUAAUACCGCAUGAGGUGCUAAAAUCGCAUGAUUAAGAGCACUAAAGAUUUAUCGCUGUAAGAUGGACUCGCGUCUGAUUAGAUAGUUGGUGAGGUAACGGCUCACCAAGUCGACGAUCAGUAGCCGAACUGAGAGGUUGAUCGGCCACAUUGGGACUGAGACACGGCCCAG
rnacentral:rRNA from 1 species